CCCCUAGAUGUUCUGGGCCGCACGCGCGCUACACUGAACAGUUCAACAAGUCUUAACCUUGGCCGAUAGGUCUGGGUAAUCUUUGAACGCUGUUCGUGAUUGGGAUAGACCUUUGCAAUUAUGGGUCUUCAACGAGGAAUUCCUAGUAAACGCAAGUCAUCAGCUUGCAUUGAUUACGUCCCUGCCCUUUGUACACACCGCCCGUCGCACCUACCGAUUGAAUGGUCCGGUGAAAUUCUCGGACGCGGACUUGCGAUGUUAAUUCGGAGCUUGACUGUGAAAGUUAAUUAAACCUUACCAUUUAGAGGAAGGUGAANUCGUANCA
rnacentral:rRNA from 1 species